GAUACUAUAUGGUUUACAAUCAUGUUGCUACCAUGAUUUAUUAAAGUUCAAUUCUUUAAUAGUGUCA